GAUGAACGCUGGCGGCGUGCUUAACACAUGCAAGUCGAACGAUGAAGCCCAGCUUGCUGGGUGGAUUAGUGGCGAACGGGUGAGUAACACGUGAGUAACCUGCCCUUAACUCUGGGAUAAGCCUGGGAAACUGGGCCUAAUACCGGAUAGGAGCGUCCACCGCAUGGUGGGUGUUGGAAAGAUUUAUCGGUUUUGGAUGGACUCGCGGCCUAUCAGCAUGUUGGUGAGGGAAUGGCUCACCAAGGCGCCGACGGAUAGGCGGCAUGAGAUGGUGACCGGCCACACUGGGACUGAGACACGGACCAGACUCCUACGGUAGGCAGCGGUGGGGAAUAUUGCACGAUGAGCGCAAGCAUGAUGCAGCGACGCCGAGUGAGGGAUGACGGCCUUCGGGUUGUAAACCUCUUUCAGUAGGGAAGAAGCGAAAGUGACGGUACCUGCAGAAGAAGCACCGGCUAACUACGUG
rnacentral:rRNA from 1 species